GUAGCUUAGCCGCAGAAACUACUGCUGUAUUUCUCGUGCGUGUGAGUCUCACCUACAUAAAUAAGACUGAUGUUCCUGGGUUCAUAAAAUGACAAAUACUACAUUGUGUCACGAGUAAACACUACAAUAACUUGAGUCCAGCGUGAACACACCGAACCCUGACUGCGCGGAUUGGAGAAAAACAACAAACACUUGAUGAAUGUCCUCCCGGCGCGGAUGAUGAUGGAGGCAUGGAGCUCCUUCCGUCGCUGUUACUGUCAGACCAGCUGUGUGGUGUGGUGUGUUAUAAAGCUACAGCGUUCGUCCACCUGCGCACUUUUGGCCGCCAUUACUGGUGUGUUCCAAACAGCAGCUGUUGCUAGCUCCUGCCACACGGCGGCGUGUCCGCCAUAUCGGAAGAGGCCAGAUUUACCUCUAAGCCAGAGGUUCUCGAUCUUUUGUAACUAAAGCCCUUCAAGCCUCCCCUAUCAUGUGGCACUCCACCAGACUCGCACUGAACAGAGCAGACGUAGAGAGAGGUGAGAGUGCAGCGGGAAAGCAAGACCUCACGCUUGCAGGACAGUACUGGUGACAUUUGGAAAGUUACUAAG